GAAGGACGUGACAAACGACGAUAUGCCUUGGGUAGCUGUAAGUAAGCGAUGAUCCAGGGAUUUCCGAAUGGGGGAACCCAACAGGUAAUACCUGUUACCUACAUCUGUUAAGGAUGUGAGGAGGAAGACGCAGUGAACUGAAACAUCUAAGUAGCUGCAGGAAGAGAAAGCAAAAGCGAUUGCCUUAGUAGCGGCGAGCGAAACGGCAGAAGGGCAAACCGAAGAGUUUACUCUUCGGGGUUGUAGGACUGCAAUGUGGACUCAAAGAUUAUAGAAGAAUGAUUUGGGAAGAUCAGCCAAAGAGAGUAAUAGCCUCGUAUUUAAAAUAGUCUUUGUACUUAGCAGUAUCCUGAGUACGGCGGGACACGUGAAAUCCCGUCGGAAUCUGGGAGGACCAUCUCCCAACCCUAAAUACUCCCUAGUGACCGAUAGUGAACCAGUACCGUGAGGGAAAGGUGAAAAGCACCCCGGGAGGGGAGUGAAAUAGAACCUGAAACCGUGUGCCUACAACAAGUUCGAGCCCGUUAAUGGGUGAGAGCGUGCCUUUUGUAGAAUGAACCGGCGAGUUACGUUAUGAUGCGAGGUUAAGUUGAAGAGACGGAGCCGUAGGGAAACCGAGUCUGAAUAGGGCGCCUUAGUAUCAUGACGUAGACCCGAAACCAUGUGACCUACCCAUGAGCAGGUUGAAGGUGCGGUAAGACGCACUGGAGGACCGAACCAGGGCACGUUGAAAAGUGCUUGGAUGACUUGUGGGUAGCGGAGAAAUUCCAAACGAACUUGGAGAUAGCUGGUUCUCUCCGAAAUAGCUUUAGGGCUAGCGUCGACAUUAGAGAUUCUUGGAGGUAGAGCACUGUUUGGGUGAGGGGUCCAUCCCGGAUUACCAAUCUCAGAUAAACUCCGAAUGCCAAUGAAUUAUGGUCGGCAGUCAGACUGCGAGUGCUAAGAUCCGUAGUCGAAAGGGAAACAGCCCAGACCACCAGCUAAGGUCCCAAAAUAAUUGUUAAGUGGAAAAGGAUGUGGGGUUGCACAGACAACUAGGAUGUUAGCUUAGAAGCAGCUAUUCAUUCAAAGAGUGCGUAAUAGCUCACUAGUCGAGUGACCCUGCGCCGAAAAUGUACCGGGGCUAAAACAAUUUACCGAAGCUGUGGAUACCUUUAUAGGUAUGGUAGGAGAGCGUUCUAUGUGUGAUGAAGGUAUACCGUGAGGAGUGCUGGAACGCAUAGAAGUGAGAAUGCCGGUAUGAGUAGCGAAAGACAGGUGAGAAUCCUGUCCACCGUAAGACUAAGGUUUCCAGGGGAAGGCUCGUCCGCCCUGGGUUAGUCGGGACCUAAGGAGAGACCGAAAGGUGUAUCCGAUGGACAACAGGUUGAUAUUCCUGUACUAGAGUAUGUAGUGAUGGAGGGACGCAGUAGGCUAACUAAAGCAGACGAUUGGAAGAGUCUGUCUAAGCAGUGAGGUGUGAAUUGAGUCAAAUGCUUAAUUCUAUAACAUUGAGCUGUGAUGGGGAGCGAAGUUUAGUAGCGAAGUUAGUGACGUCACACUGCCAAGAAAAGCUUCUAGCGUUUAAACAUACUCUACCCGUACCGCAAACCGACACAGGUAGUCGAGGCGAGUAGCCUCAGGUGAGCGAGAGAACUCUCGUUAAGGAACUCGGCAAAAUGACCCCGUAACUUCGGGAGAAGGGGUGCUGACUUAAAGUCAGCCGCAGUGAAUAGGCCCAAGCAACUGUUUAUCAAAAACACAGCUCUCUGCUAAAUCGUAAGAUGAUGUAUAGGGGGUGACGCCUGCCCGGUGCUGGAAGGUUAAGAGGAGUGCUUAGCGUAAGCGAAGGUAUGAAUUGAAGCCCCAGUAAACGGCGGCCGUAACUAUAACGGUCCUAAGGUAGCGAAAUUCCUUGUCGGGUAAGUUCCGACCCGCACGAAAGGCGUAAUGAUUUGGGCACUGUCUCAACGAGAGACUCGGUGAAAUUUUAGUACCUGUGAAGAUGCAGGUUACCCGCGACAGGACGGAAAGACCCCAUGGAGCUUUACUGCAGUUUGAUAUUGAGUGUCUGUACCACAUGUACAGGAUAGGUAGGAGUCUAAGAGAUCGGGACGCCAGUUUCGAAGGAGACGCUGUUGGGAUACUACCCUUGUGUUAUGGCCACUCUAACCCAGAUAGGUGAUCCCUAUCGGAGACAGUGUCUGACGGGCAGUUUGACUGGGGCGGUCGCCUCCUAAAAGGUAACGGAGGCGCCCAAAGGUUCCCUCAGAAUGGUUGGAAAUCAUUCGCAGAGUGUAAAGGUAUAAGGGAGCUUGACUGCGAGAGCUACAACUCGAGCAGGGACGAAAGUCGGGCUUAGUGAUCCGGUGGUUCCGUAUGGAAGGGCCAUCGCUCAACGGAUAAAAGCUACCCUGGGGAUAACAGGCUUAUCUCCCCCAAGAGUUCACAUCGACGGGGAGGUUUGGCACCUCGAUGUCGGCUCGUCGCAUCCUGGGGCUGUAGUCGGUCCCAAGGGUUGGGCUGUUCGCCCAUUAAAGCGGCACGCGAGCUGGGUUCAGAACGUCGUGAGACAGUUCGGUCCCUAUCCGUCGCGGGCGUAGGAAAUUUGAGAGGAUCUGCUCCUAGUACGAGAGGACCAGAGUGGACUUACCGCUGGUGUACCAGUUGUCUUGCCAAAGGCAUCGCUGGGUAGCUAUGUAGGGAAGGGAUAAACGCUGAAAGCAUCUAAGUGUGAAACCCACCUCAAGAUGAGAUUUCCCAUGAUUAU
rnacentral:rRNA from 1 species